GAUGAACGCUGGCGGCGUGCCUAAUACAUGCAAGUCGAGCGAAUGGAUUAAGAGCUUGCUCUUAUGAAGUUAGCGGCGGACGGGUGAGUAACACGUGGGUAACCUGCCCAUAAGACUGGGAUAACUCCGGGAAACCGGGGCUAAUACCGGAUAACAUUUUGAACCGCAUGGUUCGAAAUUGAAAGGCGGCUUCGGCUGUCACUUAUGGAUGGACCCGCGUCGCAUUAGCUAGUUGGUAAGGUAACGGCUCACCAAGGCAACGAUGCGUAGCCGACCUGAGGGGGUGAGCGGCCACACUGGGACUGAGCCACGGCCCAGACUCCUACGGGAGGCAGCAGUAGGGAAUCUUCCGCAAUGGACGAAAGUCUGACGGAGCAACGCCGCGUGAGUGACGAAGGCUUUCGGGUCGUAAAACUCUGUUGUUAGGGAAGAACAAGUGCUAGUUGAAUAAGCUGGCACCUUGACGGUACCUAACCAGAAAGCCACGGCUAACUACGUGCCAGCCGCCGCGGUAA
rnacentral:rRNA from 1 species